rnacentral:misc_RNA from 1 species
CGUGGGAGCUGGCUUGCCCGCGAUGCAGUCACCUCGGUCGUUCAGUUGAACCGAGGUGAUGCUAUCGCAGGCAAGCCAGCUCCCACA